rnacentral:tRNA from 1 species
GCGGGUGUAGCUUAGCUUGGUUAUAGCGCUAGACUCAUAAUCUAGAGGUCGCGGAUUCAAAUCCCGCCACCCGCA